UACAGAGGGGGCAAGCGUUAUUCGGAAUUAUUGGGCGUAAAGGGCGCGUAGGCGGCCUGGCAAGUGGAAGGUGAAAUCCCUCGGCUUAACCGAGGAACUGCCCUCCAAACUGCUUGGCUUGAGUCCGGGAGAGGUGAGUGGAAUUCCCAGUGUAGCGGUGAAAUGCGUAGAUAUUGGGAGGAACACCAGUGGCGAAGGCGGCUCACUGGACCGGAACUGACGCUGAGGCGCGAAAGCACGGGGAUCAAACAGG
rnacentral:rRNA from 1 species